AUACGAAAGGUGCAAGCGUUGUUCGGAUUUACUGGGCGUAAAGAGAGUGUAGGUGGUUUAUUAAGUCGGAUGUGAAAUCCCGGGGCUCAACCUCGGAACUGCAUUCGAUACUGAUAGGCUAGAGUUUGAGAGGGGUAAGCGGAAUUCCGUGUGUAGCAGUGAAAUGCGUAGAUAUACGGAGGAACACCUGAGGCGAAGGCGGCUUACUGGACCAAUACUGACGCUGAGACUCGAAAGCGUGGGUAGCAAACAGGAUUAGAUACCCUAGUAGUCC
rnacentral:rRNA from 1 species